ACUCAUAUUUGGAUGAAAUAAAAAACAUAAAUAAACAAAAUGAUUUCACGAACUAUGAUAAAUCGUCCGGCGUCCGGAAAACAUAUUGCCAAAACGCUGCGCUGCAUCUGAAAACCCUGGAAAGAAUUAGGCUGCAUUACAGACAUCCUUUCAAGAAUCAUGCAAAAGCCGGUGGAAACGGAAGUGACUUUGGGAAAGUUUUUCAAACCGCUUUGGAUAGGAGGCUUGUUGUAAUGUCUUCUAUGAUCUCAUGAGGUAUGGAACUUAUGACCUGGAAAGAUACAACGCUCUUACGAUUGUUUCUCCAGCAACCCAGGGUUCUAUAACUGGCCAAGUGUUUGUCGCAGUUAACCAACGCUCGAACUAAGUGCCGUGUUCCAACCAGGAUAUUAUGUUUCAUUUUUUUCGUUUACUGGUAAUUAGAUUUGUACGGUUUGAAUUCUUUAACCACCGAGCAAGACUAUUGCAACUGUUUCAACGAAUAGGACUCUGGAUCUUGGAAGCAGGUCGUCAUUAAGCACUAAUUCGUGAAGGAAGCUAAACCGGCGUUCAUUUAGGUGCAGUAUUCUCGGAACAAUUUAUCGACGGAUUCCAAUAAACGAAGGACAAAUGUAAGCGGAUGGAUGCAUACAACGCUCUUACGAUUGUUUCUCCAGCAACCCAGGGUUCUAUAACUGGCCAAGUGUUUGUCGCAGUUAACCAACGCUCGAACUAAGUGCCGUGUUCCAACCAGGAUAUUAUGUUUCAUUUUUUUCGUUCACUGGUAAUUAGAUUUGUACGGUUUGAAUUCUUUAACCACCGAGCAAGACUAUUGCAACUGUUUCAACGAAUAGGACUCUGGAUCUUGGAAGCAGGUCGUCAUUAAGCACUAAUUCGUGAAGGAAGCUAAACCGGCGUUCAUUUAGGUGCAGUAUUCUCGGAACAAUUUC